rnacentral:lncRNA from 1 species
CCAUGUCAGAAGUGGUUCCAGGUAUGUAUUGUUGGAGAGAGUGAUACAUGUCAGAAGUGGUUCUAGGUAUGUAUUGUUGGAGAGAGCGAUACCAUGUCAGAAGUGGUUCUAGGUAUGUAUUGUUGGAGAGAGUGAUACAUGUCAGAAGUGGUUCUAGGUAUGUAUUGUUGGAGAGAGCGAUACCAUGUCAGAAGUGGUUCUAGGUAUGUAUUGUUGGAGAGAGUGAUACAUGUCAGAAGUGGUUCUAGGUAUGUAUUGUUGGAGAGUGAUACCAUGUCAGAAGUGGUUCUAGGUAUGUAUUGUUGGAGAGAGCGAUACCAUGUCAGAAGUGGUUCUAGGUAUGUAUUGUUAGAGAGUGAUACCACGUCAGAAGUGGUUCCAGGUAUGUAUUGUUAGAGAGUGAUACCAUGCUUGUCUGAAGUGUUU